rnacentral:ncRNA from 1 species
CUGGAACUAUGCAGGCUGUAGGUUAGCCUUCUGGGCUAAAGGAAAACAUUUUUCUGUUUCUAUCCCUCAUUAGUGGUGCAGUGAAGGCUGGUGCUGUUCACCAAUUGAGGUGACAUCCUGAGGCCUCUCAAUCUGCCAAGGGAACACCAUCAGCCCCUGUUGCCUGCCAUCACUGGGGAGGUGGCGCCUGAGCACAGGUGUCAGGACUGGAAAGAUGGAGAAUUAUGCUUAGGUGAGGUAAAGCUGAGGAAACUCUUGUGGAGUUCUGUAGUCUUCCUGACAUGCAGAUCUGUUGUCUGGCCUGAGCAUGUAAGUAGGUGAAAGCCUAAUUGAACCAUCUGGGUAGCUGGUUCCUUCCAAAGUUUCCCUCAGGAGAGCUGGUGCUCUCACAAGCAAACCCAUAUGUUUUAUCCAGGAAAGUGAAUGAAUAGAGGUUUUUUGAAGCCAAAACAAUAUCAACUUACUCUCAAACCUUAAAUGGGUAAGAAGAUCUGCUCACUGGCAUGGAUCUUGAUUUCUCAAUAUGAAUGCAUAUCAUGAAAGUGGGGCCUCAGGAUUCUUCUGACCUCUUGAGUU